AAACAAGGCAGUUCCCCUUGCCUGCAACUCCCCCUGGGGCGGCACUUUAUUUGCAAAGCGGUGUAAUUGGUUUAAGCUUGUGGGGAAGGAAGGAGAGACAGAGAUGGCAGAGGGGGGCAGACUAAGAAAAGGAGGGCGGGGAACCCCCCUUCCAGAUGGACAGGACAAAUGCUAGGAGGGAUCGGUGGAAAUUAAAUGAGGGCUGCUGUCCGAUGUGGAUGGUCAUGAUAUUUUCUCUGGUGCCUUACGAUUAGAAACCAUGUGAGUCACCGCGCUGAGACAUAACACUACCAGCCACCCAAUAAAUGCGGACAGAGGCUUGAAUGCGGAUCCACCGAUAUUAACCUCCACUUGGCAAACAUCAGGUGAGUCACUGGAACCAUUUUAUAUCUUUACUGUGGAAAGCCUCCAGUCCAGAAGGCUCCGUGGAAGCCUUCCCUGGUGCCAGGCGCCCAGGAGCAGCAAUAAUAAGUAGCGGGUAUUUCGUUACCAACUUCUUGCUCACUAACCCGAUUUUUCGCAAAGAACAGGGGAGGAGGAAUCUACAUGGGCUGGUAAAAGCUGAAAAGGGGCAACAUUAGGGGAGAAAAAAGGAAUAAAAAAGAAAAAAAAAAGGAAAAAAAAAAGGAAAAAAGGUCAUUGAGCAACGUUCUUUAUUAUUAUGGAGAGAACCUCUCAGUCUUUGUAGAUGGAUCGAACAUUUUCUCUUUCUGCUCCUGCCCUGUCUUUGGCUCUUAAUGUCAAAACCACAAACUUUUUUGGUUUUCUUUGGUCUACUCUGUAGUUUGUUACUAUUCAGCUACUAGAACUUUUGUCACCUGGUAUUAAAAAAAGAGGGGACCCCAGCAAAUGCACCACCAAACAACCAAAUAAAAACCCGCAAACCCAAAUAACUUUCCAGGAAAUAGGAAUUGGAAAGGGAAAUAAAGUUUCUUGGGAUUUUGAAAAAAGACUCGAACAUCACAUCACAGAAACUAAAAUACACAUCUGGGUAUGAGUUUCUGCCUGGAAUGUUUAUCGUUCAGCAGGAUCACAAUUGCUUCCACAGUGGUUUGUCCUCGAAUGGUCUGCGAAAACGUCACCCUCAGAAACACGAUUUUAAUGGUUCUUAUACAGAGACCCAGGAUUCAAGUGACGAGAUAUAGCAUAUCUCCGACUCGACAAAUAUGUUCCAACUUGUCCUCUAAAUGCGUUUUCUGUUAUCCCUUUCUUUGUUCUUUCCCUCAUCCUUCUUUCUUUAAAUCUGGCAACAGAAUUAAGUCAAAUCCUCGAAACAAACAAAACUCUGGAAUCAGCAGAUGAGAACAAGAAAAUGUGUAUUGAAAGGAAGAAAAUAGAUAAAAGCACUGGAUUAAAACCCUGCUUUCUCAAAAAGUCAAACUACACCCACGAAUUCUAAGAGAUACUACCACUGCGGUCUUCAUCUCUACACGCUCCUUCUUUCACUAAUAAAAGCGGUCUGUAAGUCUGAAAA